rnacentral:rRNA from 1 species
GACGAACGCUGGCGGCGUGCUUAACACAUGCAAGUCGAACGGAAAGGCCCUGCUUGCAGGGUACUCGAGUGGCGAACGGGUGAGUAACACGUGGGUGAUCUGCCCUGCACUUCGGGAUAAGCCUGGGCAACUGGGUCUAAUACCGGAUAGGAGCCAUUUUUAGUGUGAUGGUUGGAAAGUUUUUUCGGUGUAGGAUGAGCUCGCGGCCUAUCAGCUUGUUGGUGGGGUAAUGGCCUACCAAGGCGGCGACGGGUAGCCGGCCUGAGAGGGUGGACGGCCACAUUGGGACCUAGAGACGGCCCAGACUCCGACGGGAGGCAGCAGUGGGGAAUAUUGCACAAUGGGCGCAAGCCUGAUGCAGCGACGCCGCGUGGGGGAUGACGGCCUUCGGGUUGUAAACUCCUUUCGCUAGGGACGAAGCUUUUUGUGACGGUACCUAGAGAAGAAGCACCGGCUAACUACGUG